UACGAAGGGGGCGAGCGUUGUUCGGAUUUACUGGGCGUAAAGGGCGCGUAGGCGGCCAGCACAAGUCAGUUGUGAAAUCUCCGAGCUUAACUCGGAAAGGUCAACUGAUACUGUGCGGCUAGAGUGCGGAAGGGGCAACUGGAAUUCUUGGUGUAGCGGUGAAAUGCGUAGAUAUCAAGAGGAACACCUGCGGCGAAGGCGACUCUUUGGUCUGUAACUGACGCUGAGGCGCGAAAGCGUGGGGAGCAAACAGG
rnacentral:rRNA from 1 species